rnacentral:rRNA from 1 species
GAUUUCUGGUUCGGCGCACUUGGCCCGUCUCGGUUUACGGGAUUGCGUGCCGGUGUGCGCCAUCCAUCCUUCGGGAAAUACACAGCUACCCUUCACUGGGCCGGUUGUGCUAUCCCGAUCUUUUACUUUGAAAAAAUUAGAGUGUUUAAAGCAGGCUUUUUGCUAUGAAUACAUUAGCAUGGAAUAAUAAUUUAGGACUUUGGCCCUAUUUUGUUGGUUUCUAGGACUGAAGUAAUGAUUGAUAGGGAUAGUUGGGGGUGCUCGAAUUCAGCGGCCAGAGGUGAAAUUCUUGGAUUCGCUGAAGACGAACUCAUGCGAAAGCAUU